UAAUACGUAGGUUGCGAGCGUUAUUCGGAUUUACUGGGCGUAAAGAGCACCGAGGUGGCUUCUUAAGUUGGAUGUGAAAUCUCCCGGCUUAACUGGGAGGCGCCAUUCAAAACUGGGGAGCUUGAGGUCAGCAGGGGAAAGUGGAAUUCCCGGUGUAGUGGUGGAAUGCGUAGAGAUCGGGAGGAACACCAGUGGCGAAAGCGACUUUCUGGGCUGCACCUGACACUCUAGUGCGAAAGCGUGGGGAGCAAACAGGAUUAGAUACCCUGGUAGUCCACGCCCUAAACGAUGGAUACUAGGUGUGGGAGGUAUUGACCCCUUCCGUGCCGAAGCCAACGCGUUAAGUAUCCCGCCUGGGGACUACGGCCGCAAGGUUA
rnacentral:rRNA from 1 species